GGGGGGGGGGGGGGGGGGGGGGGGGGGGGGGGGGGGGGGGGGGGGGGGGGACCUGCCGGUAGUUGAUGCGGAAAUACCAGCCCA
rnacentral:miRNA from 12 species